UGGGGAAUAUUGGGCAAUGGAGGCAACUCUGACCCAGCAACGCCGCGUGAAGGAUGAAGUAUUUCGGUAUGUAAACUUCGAAAGAAUAGGAAGAAUAAAUGACGGUACUAUUUAUAAGGUCCGGCUAACUACGUGCCAGCAGCCGCGGUAAUACGUAGGGACCAAGCGUUGUUCGGAUUUACUGGGCGUAAAGGGCGCGUAGGCGGCAUGACAAGUCACUUGUGAAAUCUCUGGGCUUAACCCAGAACGGCCAAGUGAUACUGUCGCGCUAGAGUGCAGAAGGGGCAAUCGGAAUUCUUGGUGUAGCGGUGAAAUGCGUAGAUAUCUGGAGGAACACCGGUGGCGAAGGCGACAUCCUGGACCAAUUCUGACGCUGAGGAGCGAAAGCCAGGGGAGCAAACGGG
rnacentral:rRNA from 1 species